UGCCGAGUGGUAAGUUGGCGAGCCCGUAGCCGUUUCGGGGCUGCGUGCGCGGACUCGGAGGCGCGCCUCGGCUGAGCCCAGACCAGGGAGGCAGGCAUCGCGGACGUCAGGUCUCCGGGCCGCGCGCUUGGGCGCGCCAAAGGGCUGACAGCCUAGCGGGAGUCAGAGCGAGCGCGCGCUUUUCUGUGGGACUGGCUGGCUGGUGACGCUCGGCGGCGGCAUGACGGGCGGACCGGCCGACCGGCUGACAGAAUCGCCCGCCUCCCCUCCCCUCCCCUCCCUCCGUCGCCUUCCCCCUCCUCUCCUUCGCCUGCCUUCCUCCUUUCUCGUCAGGAGGAUCGCGAUCUCGCCGCCGCCGCCGCCUCUUCUGCCCCCCAAGCCCGAGCAGAGCCGCCCCUCUCCUCCUCCUCCCCCCUCCCCAGCGCCUGAGCCAACCCCCCUCCCCAGUCUAGAAGCCUCCCGCGCUCCUGCCCCACCUCUCUGCCCUGUCGCUUCCCUCACCCCACGCACCCUGCUCGCCCCCCCCUUGCUGCCCUGCCUCCACUUCCCAGGCAGAGAGUCCUUUAAAAGCACCCCCCUCAACCCCUGCCCCGCUUCUGCCCCCCUUGGGUGGCCCCAGACCCCGGGGGGAGGGAGCCCCGAGCCCCUCAGACCCUUUGGGGGCACACUGCCAUCUGCUGAAGUGAAAGGCCCCCCCUCCCGCCCAAAGUCCUCUUGCUCAGGGCAGGCCCUUGUUAAUUUUGCCCUGCAAAGAACACCCCCCUUCCACCUCUCUCCUCCCACAGCCCGGCACUAUCCCCGAGAGUCCAGACUUGCUCGCCCUGGGCUGCCUCCUGCUCCAAGCCCUUCAGCAUGUCUCAGCUGCGUGACCUGGUCAGUUAUCUGCAGGAUCCCGAGAAAGUGGCCACUUUCCAACGGCUGUGUGGUGUGGAAGUGCCCCCAGGCUGGGGGUCGUCGGCUGAAGCUCGGGCCGAAGGGUCAGAAGAACUCGAAGCCCCUUUGGCCAACGGGAGUUGCCCCGCUUUCCAGGCCGGUGGCGACGACAGUGGUGUGCAGCACCGGUUCCAAGAUCCCUCAAGGGUGAAGGAGAAGGGGGAAGCGAGGGACUCGAAUGGCUUCAAGAACGGCGUGGUUUCUGGGGAUACCUGUGGGGUCGAAUCUCAGCAGCUGCCCCAGGAUGCAGGAAACCAGCAGGACUGGGGUACAAGCAGACGUCCUCGGCGCAACUCUCUGACUGGAGAGUCUGUAUGCCAGGAGUUCUCAAUUCGCAGUCAUUCCCUCUAUUACCUGUUCAGCCUGGGCACAGAGCUGGGCAAUGAACUCUUCUAUAUUCUCUUCUUCCCCUUCUGCAUCUGGAAUGUGGACGCUUGGCUGGGCAGGAGGCUCAUCAUCGUUUGGGUUUGGGUCAUGUACCUGGGCCAGUGUACCAAGGAUGUUAUCCGUUGGCCUCGGCCUGCUUCCCCGCCGGUGGUGAAGCUGGAGGUUUUCUACAACUCCGAGUACAGCAUGCCUUCCACCCAUGCCAUGUCGGGCACUGCUAUUCCGGCGACUCUAUUUCUGUUUAGCUAUGGACGGUGGCAGUUUCCUUUGAUGUAUGGAGUGAUUCUUGCCAUUUGCUGGUGUGCUCUGGUUUGCUUUAGUCGAAUAUAUAUGGGAAUGCAUUCAAUUCUGGACGUCAUUGCUGGAUUCUUGUAUGCUAUUCUCAUCUUGGCGGUCUUCCUUCCAGCUGUGGACCUAGUUGACAGCUUCAACUUAUCCUACAAGUAUGCGCCACUAAUUAUCAUCAGCCUCCAUCUUGCCCUUGGGAUUUUCUCUUUCACUCUAGACACCUGGAGCACAUCACGAGGGGACACAGCUCAAAUCCUGGGCUGUGGUGCUGGGGUUGCAUGUGGCUCUCAUGUAAACUACAUGCUGGGUCUAAUGCCAGAUCCUUCUCCAGAGGCACUCCCCUUACUGGCUCCCUCCCUCACUGUGACUCUCUUUGGAAAAGUCAUGUUGCGGUUAUUGAUUGGAGUGGUGCUUCUGCUGCUAACAAAAGCAGGCAUGAAAAAAGUCACAAUCCCACUGGCUUGUAAAAUUUUCCGUAUACCUUGUGAUGAUAUCCGACAAGCCCGUCAGCGCAUGGAGGUUGAACUGCCUUACCGUUAUUGUACCUAUGGAAUGGUGGGAUUUUCGCUGACUUUCAUUAUUCCUUUGCUAUUUAGCAUAAUGGGACUGUCCUGAUGCAGGUGUGUGUUCGGUGUUCAGAUGGACAGUUAAAUGAGAGAAGAUGCAUCGUCUGAGAGAUGUACUUUAGGUACUGUUGCUGCUACAGUAAUAUGUGGCAAGAAAAUAAAGUUCAAAUCUUUGAUGUUGAGUUAAGGUUGGACUAGCUUUGGGUGAGAGAUGCCAUGUCUAGUCUUACUGUUGUAACAACAUGAAAACUGUCUCUGUGUGUUUAUGCAUCUAUACUGUUGAUGCCUUGGACUAUACAUGUUACCCCCCCCCCGCCCCCCCUUUUGGGCAUGUUUAAAACAGGUAUGUUUAUAACUGAUUCAAAAGUUCCAUCUGUGGUCAGUUUAAGCCAUUUCAUAUUAAGUUAUUUGUGUCUUUGGACACAACGGAUAUAAUGGAACAGCUUGUUUUUCUUGCACCUCUGCACUUCCACAUGUUUUAUGUAGGAAGAAAGCUAUUCUAAUGAGAUCUUACAAAAAAGAAUAUAUUAGAUUCUUUCCCACUUUCUAAAGAACUUAAAUUUGUGAAUACAACCCAAGUAGAUCCAGGUACUGUAUUUUUAUUUUUAUUUUAUUUUUUGGCUUGAUAAUUGUGCCUUUCUGUUGCUAAAUUAAAAAGCACCAUAUACUGUGAUAUGUAUAUAUCUAUAUAUAUAAAAGUCCAUAACUUUAUCUUGAAUUUUUACUGAAUCAGGCAGAUAUUUUAAAAUGUAUUUAGCCACAAAACUAAUCAGGAUAAAGAUAUUAUCUUAUAUUUUAAAAAGUAUGAAUAUGGAAUGAGCUGAAUGUGUAAGUUCACUGCUUGUGAACGGAUGCUUAAUUCCUUUUUAUAGAUAUUUUAAAGUGCAUUAUAUGUUCAAAGAACACAUUUUCCUGCUAAUUACCUUAAUUUAUAAUAUAGAUCUCCAGUGUCCAAAAGUAAUAAUAUUAAAAAUUACAGAUUCAAACCAUGCAUGUUUGAACUUCAGGUCCCCCCGCCCCAUUCAUUUUCUUCAGGCUCAUUUUCUUCAGAUUAAUCAGGCAUCUUAACAAUACUGGUUGACAUCUUUACAAAGGAAAUGGUGGUGCAGUGAAAGGAUCAGAACCACAGCAGUUCCAGAAUAACGGCACUAGGGAAGAGGGGAUUCCCCCUUUGUGCCAUCCAAACAUACAUACCUGCGGGCUGCCCAGAGGGUUUCUUUGACAAGGGGAGGUUGUCAGAAAUGGCCUCUUUCCUGGUGCACCAGUGCAGUUAGUCUGGAACAGUGUUCCCUCUAACUGGGAUUCUCAGAUUUGUAGUCAAUAUCUGGGAAUCCCUGUUAGAGGGAACAGUGGUCUGGAAGUGUUGCUGCUCUAAUCCUCUUGCUGCAUCAGCACUCCCUUAGCACAUCAGCCACUGGCUUCGGAAGAAGCAAACACCAACAUUGCAUAGUGCAAGUGGUUAACUGUGUUUCCCAAGUUUUUAGAGAGGUGCAAUGCAUGCUGAAUACGUCUCUAUCCAUCCCUCUGGAAAUGGAGUGUUUUAGUGUCAGUUUUGCCUUUGAAAACAUUGAGUAGUAUCUAGACUAACUGUGCUUGUGGAGGCAGUUUCCCCCAACUCUUCUUCUUCUUCACUGCCGCUCCUCCAUUCCAGAGGGUAGAGGGACUCUUCAGAACAGAGUUCAAUGCAUCAUGAGUGGCUGUAGGGGAAGAGGGGGAUGUUCCCAGAAACCAGGCGGGUCUCUGCUGGAUUUCUAGGAAUUCCUCCUUCCCCUGGCAGCCAGCCGUGCUGCAUCCCACCCUGUUGUUAAGGAUCCCUCAGUCCUCAGAACAACUUUGUUUUGGACAACUUUGGGGGCUCCAGCAAGGAGGAGGGGUCCGGGGAAAUGGCCAGUGCCCUUGUGUGAGCAGCACUGGGGGUGCUAGCCAUUCUCCAGACUUAUCAAAGGCAAUCUCUUGGAGCUGUUAUUACAGUGGAUUAAUCUAAGGCAGUGCUGCCUAAUGUAGCAUGUAGGUAAACUGUUGAGUAGGAAAAAUGAGGAGGAAAACCAAGGUUCUUCUAUGACAUGUUGACAGACCACCUUGUGUGGCUUGUGAUUCCGGGAAUCUCUGGAGACAAGUGAAUGGAUGUAUUUAUUAUGGUCAGUGACCAGCAAUCAGCAAAUAAAAAUAAAAGUAACAAUCAAGAUAAAACAAAAUAAGAUCAAAACAACAGAGCUAGAUAAUAGACAUCAAAGUAUACGGAGAUCUCACUUGCAAUUAGUCAUUUGCUCCCGUCUCAUUUUACAGGCUGCCACACAGACUCUUACUACCCCAGCUGAAAUGGCUAUAUACUGGUCUGCCAGAAGGAAGGAGAUAUAGUAUUCUUCUGAUUGACUUGGCAUAUUUUUAAAAAGUGGUUCAGGCAUAUGAAUGUUCCUAUAAUAUGAACAAUAUAGAAGAACAUGUUAAAUGGUUUCAAUAUUGCCUGAGCCGCAUGGACAUAGCCGGUUCCUGAGUAGUAUUUUCUUAAAUCUGCCAUCCAAAAUGGCAGAAGGCAGUGCAUUAAACCGCACCAUUGAGAAAGCUCUCUUCUGAUUUAGAGUGGUCAAAUUUGUGAGGUACGCAGCUGGCUGAGGGUAGUUUGGGAAGCCAUCUGGAAUACUACUGGGGCAACAGAACUUAGAUCGACUUGCUUCUCCAUAUCCACUAUUCGUUGUUUAAUAAUUUCUUUGGCAGCAUCAUAUCCCAAUGAAAAUAAGUAUUGUGGAGAGUAUGGAGACAAGUCUGAUUUGCAGCACUGUGAGCUGCAAGGAGGAAGAUGAGGAACCAGAGCAUUUUUGUUCCCUGAAGUCUGAGUUGUCCUGUCCAUAUGAAAACAAAGACAGGAAAAUUUCAAGCUGAAUCUUUUUGAAAAGCAGUAUUGAUGAGUGCUUGAACUGAGUUUGUAUAUCUCUCUGGAACCUUCAGUCGGACGCCAAUGCACUCUUCUUCUUGGUAGCAUUUGUUACUAUUCAUUUAAAAAAAUAUAUCAGAAUAUUGACUUGAAUUUCGUUUUGGCUCCAUGAUUUUUAAAAGUUCACCUAUACAAGGUGUGAUCCACAACUGUUAAACUUGAUGGGUCAUUUUGCUUUUAACUGAAAUGAGAUGUGGCUUGCAGAUCCAGUCUUUCACUAUCUCAGGUGCUGCUACUGUGAUAUUCCAGUUCUCCAGUAAGACAUGGAUGAUUUACCAUCUUUGUGGAGUGUCAAUUCAGAACCUUUAUCCUAAGGAGGGGGGAAAAUGCAUUGUUUUGAUGUCCUUGCUCUUUUGUUGAUGUGAACUUGGGUUUGGAUUCUUUGCUUCAUUAUGAACUCCAAAAGACUCAGUUCAGACAUAACAAUCCCAGUCCAGCAACCUUACAAGAAGUCUUGUGCCCACAAGUUCUCUUUCCACCUCCCCUCACAUACUCAGCCGAAUCAAAAGCUUUCUGAUUUCUUAAACCAUCAUUUUCUAUGACAUCCAAAGCAGAAAACUGGUUUGAGCACUGCCUUCAGCAAUGUUCAAAUCAGUUUCCCAGUUAGGAUGUAGUGGGAAAUGGAGAUUUAACAAACCCGUAACCUAGGUAUCAUUACGUUUAGGGGAGAUUCUGACUUAGAGGUUUUCAGUCAUAAUCCCACAGAUGGUAGCUUCUCCCCACUGACUCCUCAGCCAAGCACAUACACCAAAUGUCUGAACCUGCAGUUCCUCUCGUACUGAGCAGGAUUACUAUUGCACAAGGGGAGGAAGAAAAAGGAGCAGGAACAAGGCUCACUUCCAGCCCAGCUAAUCAUAGAAUUGUUAUGUCUGAACUGGGCUAAUUCUGUUUCGUGGUGUGUUAAACAAGUGGUUUAUUAAAAGCACUGCCUUUCUCUGCAUUGUCUGCUGUAGCAAUUAGUAAGUUAUCUUCCAGUGUGUAUAUUUGAAGAUGUUCCCAAAGUGCAUUAUGAUUAUGUGCUGUUACAAAUUGUAUUCCAAAAUAUUGGCCUGGAUCCAAAGAACUGUAAAACUAGCAUUGUGAACCUAACUGGGAUUAUUAUUAUUAUUAUUAUUAUUUUCGUCUGAAUAGCAUUUCUCCCUUGACUGAUGCCAACUUUGAAACAGAAGGGAGAUGCAAAAGCAGUUUGUGAAAUGGAUUGGGGCCUGCUACUCAAAGGAUGGGUUCACAAAUAACCCCAGCAAGUAAGUAGGAGGAAACUGUCAGCUCCCAGCGAACACAUGCUCCUGGUACUGCCGCCUUUCCCAUGUCAUAUGAACCUGCCAAGGUCAGGUGGAGAAAGUUGGGUCUCCUCUGUUGCCUGACAUUCUCUGCCCAACUUCAAAAUGUUGGUUACAAAUGCUGGGUAGCGGAGGGAACACUGCAUUUUCUCCACCCACUGUUGGCAAGGUGUGCCCAGCAUGGAAGAGGCAGCAGUACCGGGAGCAGGUGAUCCCUGGGAACUGGCAGUUCUCUCCUACUUUACUAGCUGCUGUUUUGUGUGAAUCCACCCAAAGGGCAAAAAACAUCAAAAGUUUCACAGGGCAAGCUGCUUUCAUGAGCAACUCUUUGAAUCUUGUCGACUGAUUGCUUGUAAACCACGGACUUCAUUGUAGAUAGUUGCUAAAGGGGAAUUUGCUUUAAAAUAUCCUGAUUCAGUACUAGUGUACUUUUUUCUUAUGGUUGCUUAGGCUGCGAAGUCAGUGGGGCUUACCUUUGAGUAAACAUCAUAGGAUUACACAGUAUGGCAGCUGGUUAUUUGCUGAAUGUACAUUCAAAGAAGCUCAGUAAUGAUACAGUUCUCUGCACGCACCUGAAUGUUCUUAGCAAGCAGUUGAGAAACAGGUAUGUUUUUGAAGAGGUAUUGCAGAUAACUUUAAAUGAAAGCACAGCAGUGAGGGAGAAUAAUAUUUAUAGGUUCCUUCUUUUCUAUAUGACAUUUCCAUUUAAUGGCUUGGCUUUUCUCUUCUAAUAAAGAAUGUUAAUAUGGGUAGUUGAAAGGGCUAUACAGGGAAUGAGUGUUGCAAGUUAAUAACUUGCAAUCUUACGUGGGAUUUAUUUUUUCAAGUUGUAUUACUACUAUUAAAACUAUUAUUGCAGAAAGAAACAAUUUUGCUAAAAGAGCUCAUUUCAUUGUACACAUAGUAGUGUGCUGUCACAAUCUCCAGAAUUUUUUUAAAAAUGCACUGUAGUUUAUUCUGCUGUUACUCUGUAUGCUUUUUUAAAACACUGCAUGUGUCUCUCUCAAAAGGAGGCAGCCCAUUCCACAUUUUUAGUAUGUAUUCGAAGAAUUGUGUUAGGUUGAACUUUAAAGUUCUAACCAUGGAUCACAAGUACAUCUAUAUUAUUUGAAAAUAAAGUUAAGUCUUAGAAUCUUG